rnacentral:rRNA from 1 species
UACAGAGGGUGCAAGCGUUAUUCGGAAUCACUGGGCGUAAAGGGUGCGUAGACGGUUUGUUAAGUUUGUCGUUAAAGACUCUAGCCUAACUGGAGGGUUGCGAUGAAAACUGGCAAGCUAGAGGGUAAGAGAGAGAAGUGGAAUUCCCGGAGUAGCGGUAAAAUGCGUGGAUCUCGGGAGGAACACCAAUGGCGAAGGCAGCUUCUUGGCUUAUUCCUGACGUUGAGGCACGAAAGCGUGGGGAGCGAACAGG